ACACAAAUCAACUGGCUCAGCUCAAAGUUGCUCCUUUACUCUUCUAACCUUGAAGAUUGACUUGCCCCGCUUUGGUUUGGAUAAAGCCGCUGUGUAAUAUAUGUCUUCUGCCAACUCUGUGUAUAUUUGAAGUUCAAACAACGCGAGUUGAUGCCGGAAGCCGACUUGAUAUUCAGACAUUCAGCGCUAACAUGAAGAGACUCGUACGUGGCUUUGUAUUACGGCAAAAUCAAUAUGGCGUUUUAUAAGCAGCUGAUCAAAAGGACAAUAGUUCCCUGUGAUACAUCCGCAAACACCAGCGAGUGGAUAAAGUUCUCCAGGAUGAAAGACACAGUAAAUUAUCAUCGCAGCCUCCUGCAUUCAAUCAAAGGCUGGAGAAAACUCUCUAGUGCCGUCCUACAAGUUUUGAUGUAUUCAUUGCUUAAGACAAUGGAAGUUUCUAACUCGGCUGAGAGGCUUUUCCGAUACAGGUCAACAGAAGACAACAUAAAGUAAAGUGACUCUGGUGUUCGUCUCCGGUUUUCGAACGUGGAUUUGGUUUUUGUGUAAACACAAUUUGGAAGUUUGUUCUGUUUUUAAAUAAAGAUUUUCACCUUC